rnacentral:rRNA from 1 species
GACGAACGCUGGCGGCGUGCUUAACACAUGCAAGUCGAGCGGUAAGGCCCUUUCGGGGUACACGAGCGGCGAACGGGUGAGUAACACGUGGGUGACCUGCCCUCAGCUCUGGGAUAAGCCUGGGAAACCGGGUCUAAUACCGGAUAUGACUCCAUGACGCAUGUUGGUGGGGUGGAAAGCCUUGUGCGGCUGAGGAUGGGCCCGCGGCCUAUCAGCUUGUUGGUGGGGUGAGGCCUACCAAGGCGACGACGGGUAGCCGGCCUGAGAGGGCGACCGGCCACACUGGGACUGAGACACGGCCCAGACUCCUACGGGAGGCAGCAGUGGGGAAUCUUGCGCAAUGGGCGAAAGCCUGACGC